rnacentral:sRNA from 1 species
GCCUAGCCCAGAUAGGAACGAUAUCCUUUUGUUUUUUCUUUAAAAACAAAAGAUAUAGUGGAUAGCUGGAAUUAGC